UCUGCCCUUUGUACACACCGCCCGUCGCUACUACCGAUUGAAUGGCUUAGUGAGGUCUUGGGAUUGGCUUCGGGGAGCCGGCAACGGCACCCUGUUGCUGAGAACUUGAUCAAACUUGGUCAUUUAGAGGAAGUAAAAGUCGUAACAAGGUUUCCGUAGGUGAACCUGCGGAAGGAUCAUUAAUGAAUUUUGAAAGGGGUUGUAGCUGGCCGUCUCUUUGGGGCGGCAUGGUGCACGCCCUGAUCACUAUCCAUCUCACACACCUGUGCACACACUGUAGGUUGGCUUGUGAUCGGAGCUACGGUCUUCAUUGACUUUGCUCUGGUUGGAGGCCCUCCUAUGUAUCAUCACAAACUACUUCAGUUUAAAGAAUGUACUCUUGCGUCUAACGCAUUUAAAUACAACUUUCAGCAACGGAUCUCUUGGCUCUCGCAUCGAUGAAGAACGCAGCGAAAUGCGAUAAGUAAUGUGAAUUGCAGAAUUCAGUGAAUCAUCGAAUCUUUGAACGCACCUUGCGCUCCUUGGUAUUCCGAGGAGCAUGCCUGUUUGAGUGUCAUGGAAUUCUCAACUCUAUUUGCUUUUGUGAAUAGAGCUUGGAUUUGGAGGUUUAUUGCUGGUACUUGUGAUCGGCUCCUCUUGAAUGCAUUAGCUCGAACCUUUGCGGAUCAGCUAUCGGUGUGAUAAUUGUCUACGCCGUUGCAGUGAAGCAUAUCAAUGGGCUCGGCUUCCAAUCGUCCUUUACUGGACAAUGACUUUGACCUUUGACCUCAAAUCAGGUAGGAUUACCCGCUGAACUUAAGCAUAUCAAUAAGCGGAGGAAAAGAAACUAACAAGGAUUCCCCUAGUAACUGCGAGUGAAGCGGGAAAAGCUCAAAUUUAAAAUCUGGCGGUCUUUGGCCGUCCGAGUUGUAGUCUGGAGAAGUGCUUUCCGCGCUGGACCGUGUACAAGUCUCUUGGAACAGAGCGUCAUAGAGGGUGAGAAUCCCGUCUUUGACACGGACUACCAGUGCUUUGUGAUGCGCUCUCAAGAGUCGAGUUGUUGGAA
rnacentral:rRNA from 1 species